rnacentral:rRNA from 1 species
UACGGAGGGAGCUAGCUUUGUUCGGAAUUACUGGGCGUAAAGCGCGCGUAGGCGGCUUUGUAAGUUAGAGGUGAAAGCCCGGGGCUCAACCCCGGAACUGCCUUUAAGACUGCAUCGCUUGAAUCCAGGAGAGGUGAGUGGAAUUCCGAGUGUAGAGGUGAAAUUCGUAGAUAUUCGGAAGAACACCAGUGGCGAAGGCGGCUCACUGGACUGGUAUUGACGCUGAUGUGCGAAAGCGUGGGGAGCAAACAGG